rnacentral:lncRNA from 1 species
CCCCACAACCCCACCCAGCCUUCGUUCUUUUUUCCUCUCUAGCCACCUUCAUCUCCAGCCUAGAUCAACCUAACUCCCCCAUCCCCCGUUCCCUCGCCGCCACCAAUUUGGAUCCCCGGCUGGGUCAGCAGUGAGAUGCCAGGCCUGCAGGUCCAACGCUCGCCGAGGUUGGAACUUCAACCUGCACUGGAUGUGGGGGUAGCUCUCUGAGCCCCCCUUUCCCACGAAAGACAGACCCACCGACUGAUGGACUGGCAAUGGCCUUUCACGAACAAACUGACCUGAAGUUAGACGCAAGUCCGCAUCUUUCUCCUUCACACUCAUGAAAAACCACAUCGAUAAGAUUCCAGGAAGGCACCAGUCCCCGCACGAUCCAUCUGAGAAUCGCUUGCAGCCGCCGGCAAGCACACACAGCACCCCCACCCCUGCACGCCCCAGGCCGGCGCUUCGCGGGCCCCGAGACUAGAAGGCGAGCCGGCUCGCAAGGCGGCUCCCAGCAAAGGAACCCGAGGCUCCUUCGUCCGUUUGGUGGCCUGGAGGUGGGGUGUGGCCGCGAACCUCGAAGCGACCUAGAGACCCUGUCUCCAUCCCUCCCCCCAAUUUGGCUCGACCCCGCCGAAUUUCACCGAGACAAGUCCCAGACGCUGUUUCGUCCCUUCCAGAAGGGAGCAAGGUGCAGGAUCGUCGGAGGGUCUGCCUCUCCCUGGAAUGUGAAGAAGUUGGGCAGAUGAAGAUGUAAGAGAGGCCUAGAGGGCCCCAGGGCUAGGAAGCCUUAUAAACCUCACAUCCCACCCAAAGCCCCGAGUUUGCACUUGCCCACCUCCUCCUCCCCCUUUGGUUCCAGCGGGUCGCGCACAUCAGGCUUAAGCCGAGUCACCUGACCGUACACGGAACGUACAGGCAGUUGUACCCGAAUACACACUAUGAAUUAGAGGAACGCUAAGAACAGAAUUUGAGGAAAAAAGAAGUGUCCACAGACAGAAUCAUUCCAGCGCACAGCCCAGUUGUCCAGCUGCUGACAAAAACCACAGUGCGGUCAUGGAGUGACCCGGGCCACACGGGGCGUACUACAGGAAACCACACGCCGGAGAGUGGGCCGACUGAGGAUGCAGGCUUCAGGCUUCGAAGCCAAGGGCUUCCUGCUAGAGGGACGUUUGCUCCCCAGGGAAAAACUUUGUUGAGCCGACUGGGUGAAAGGUUUCAGGUCAAGUCCAGGAGGCUACAAAGAGCACCUCCUCCACCCCAAAGCUGACCCUUUUCCCUUCCUCCCAGCAGAGCUGGAGACGCACAGAAGAGGGCAAUCCAGGAAAGGUUCAUUCGGACCGGGAUGGUUUAUUUGUUAUUGUUAUUGGUUUAGGAGCUUGCAUUCUGAAGGAGGACGGGCUGGAGAGCAUAGGAACAUCACUUAGCGCGCACCUAAUACCUAAUGGGAAACUUGGGCCCUAAUCAGGUUCACAUAGUGGGAGGGCCCUGAUUUUGUCCCUACCACUCCUCUUAUGCUAAAUUUAGUCAUUAAAAAGGUUAGCUUAGCUCCGCAUCUUCCUUCCUUCACUUCCAGCCCAGUCCCCUUGGUAUAAAAUAAGUCUGCAAAAGAACACUCCAAAGAACACCAAAUUAUUUGGUUUAUUAAACUGCUUUUCUUUGUGAGAUAUGGGUAAGUUCUCACCCCCUCCUCCGCUGUCCCAGGCAGAAGUUCCCAUCCAGGCCCAGUGGGGGUGGGGAUUGAAGAGG